rnacentral:rRNA from 1 species
AUGUUGGGUUAAGUCCGGCAACGAGCGCAACCCUUAUCCUCAUUUCUAUCAGGUUUAGUUGAGGACUUUGGGGAAACUGCCGUUGGAAAAGCGGAGGAAGGCGAGGAUGACGUCAAGUCCUCAUGGCCCUUAUGGGCUGGGCUACACACGUGCUACAAUGGUAAUUACAAUAGGUCGCGAAAAGGCAACUUUGAGCUAAUCUUCAAAAAUUAUCUUAGUUCGGAUUGUUCUCUGCAACUCGAGAGCAUGAAGUUGGAAUUGCUAGUAAUCGUGGAUCAGCAUGCCGCGGUAUACGUUCCCAGGCCUUGUACACACCGCCCGUCACACCAUGGGAGUUGGAUUCACCCGAAGGCGGUGC